rnacentral:rRNA from 1 species
CAAACGACUCUCGGCAACGGAUAUCUCGGCUCUCGCAUCGAUGAAGAACGUAGCGAAAUGCGAUACUUGGUGUGAAUUGCAGAAUCCCGCGAACCAUCGAGUCUUUGAACGCAAGUUGCGCCCGAAGCCAUUAGGUUGAGGGCACGUCUGCCUGGGCGUCUCGC